ensembl:lncRNA
CCCAACAACAGAACGGUGUGGAGGUAACCCCAACAACAGAACGGUGUGGAGGUAACCCCAACAACAGAACGGUGUGGAGGUAACCCCAACAACAGAUCGGUGUGGAGGUAACCCCAACAACAGAACGGUGAGUUAACAGAACGGUGUGGAGGUAACCCUAACAACAGAACGGUGUGGAGGUAACCCCAACAACAGAACGGUGUGGAGGUAACCCUAACAACAGAACGGUGUGGAGGUAACCCCAACAACAGAACGGUGUGGAGGUAACCCUAACAACAGAAUGGUGAGUUAACAGAACGGUGUGGAGGUAACCCCAACAACAGAACGGUGAGUUAACAGAAUGGUGUGGAGGUAACCCCAACAACAGAAUGGUGUGGAGGUAACCUUAACAACAGAAUGGUGAGUUAACAGAACGGUGUGGAGGUAACCCUAACAACAGAACGGUGAGUUAACAGAAUGGUGUGGAGGUAACCCUAACAACAGAACGGUGUGGAGGUAACCCCAACAACAGAACGGUGUGGAGGUAACCCCAACAACAGAACGGUAUGGAGGUAACCCCAACAACAGAACGGUGUGGAGGUAACCCCAACAACAGAACGGUGUGGAGGUAACCCCAACAACAGAACGGUGUGGAGGUAACCCUAACAACAGAACGGUGAGUUAACAGAACGGUGUGGAGGUAAACC